CCGGCAGCGCAGACGGUCGCCGGAUCAUUCGUGAUCCGGAGGAAAGUCCGAACACCGCAGGGCAGGGCGCUUUGUAACGCAAAGUCGUGGUAACGCGAAGGAAAGUGCAACAGAAAGUAUACCGCCAACCCCUCCCCCGACCCCUCCCCGAAACGGAGAGGGGAGCAGAGAGGCGGGGUGGUAAGGGUGAAACGGUGCGGUAAGAGCGCACCAUGCUCAGGGCGACCUGAGUGAUGGCAAACCCCGCCCGGUGCAAGACCAAAUAGAGGAGCGUCUGAGGGCUGCCCGCCCAAGCUCCCGGGUAGGUUGCAUGAGAUGUCGGGCAACUGACAUCCUAAGAGGAAUGAUCGUCGCCUGUCUUUAAGGUAACUUUAGGCAGGAACAGGAUUCGGCUUACGCGCUGCCGGGACC
rnacentral:RNase_P_RNA from 2 species